rnacentral:rRNA from 1 species
UAGGGAAUCUUCCGCAAUGGGCGAAAGCCUGACGGAGCAACGCCGCGUGAGUGAUGAAGGUCUUCGGAUCGUAAAACUCUAUUAUUAGGGAAGAAUAAAUGUGUAAGUAACUAUGCACGUCUUGACGGUACCUAAUCAGAAAGCCACGGCUAACUACGUGCCAGCAGCCGCGGUAAUACGUAGGUGGCAAGCGUUAUCCGGAAUUAUUGGGCGUAAAGCGCGCGUAGGCGGUUUUUUAAGUCUGAUGUGAAAGCCCACGGCUCAACCGUGGAGGGUCAUUGGAAACUGGAAAACUUGAGUGCAGAAGAGGAAAGUGGAAUUCCAUGUGUAGCGGUGAAAUGCGCAGAGAUAUGGAGGAACACCAGUGGCGAAGGCGACUUUCUGGUCUGUAACUGACGCUGAUGUGCGAAAGCGUGGGGAUCAAACAGG